AUCUCUGAAAAGCUCGUGGGACUUUAUGCUGUAAUGAACUGCAACUAGAGGUCUCUGGCAAGAGAAGUUCAGAUCAGCAAAUGAAUGAAAUUCAGAUUAGGAAUGGAUUGUCACGAGAGAGAAAGUCAACUUUUGAAAGAGCAUGUUUUUCUGUACUUAUUUUGACUGAAGCAGAGUACUAAAUAAAUUUGGCAUCAUUAGCCUUAUGAGGAUCAGCAUGCUCACAGAUUGAUUGUAUUGACUAUGACAUUCCCCCGACACCGAGAAUAAAUCCAGGAGAAGAUAAUUUCUCCCAAGGGUAAGAAUGCUAGUUUUUGAGGUAGGGCAGUGCGUUUGAUCUCAAGAAAUGGGUUGCAAUGAAUUUGGAAGUAAAGCAUGAA